rnacentral:rRNA from 1 species
UACGUAGGGACCAAGCGUUGUUCGGAUUUACUGGGCGUAAAGGGCGCGUAGGCGGCGUGUCAAGUCAAUUGUGAAAUCUCCGGGCUUAACUCGGAACGGUCAAUUGAUACUGAUGUGCUAGAGUGCAGAAGGGGCAAUCGGAAUUCUUGGUGUAGCGGUGAAAUGCGUAGAUAUCAAGAGGAACACCUGAGGUGAAGACGGGUUGCUGGGCUGACACUGACGCUGAGUGCGCGAAAGCUAGGGUAGCAAACGGG